rnacentral:rRNA from 1 species
CCUACGGGUGGCAGCAGUAGGGAAUCUUCCACAAUGGACGAAAGUCUGAUGGAGCAACGCCGCGUGAGUGAAGAAGGGUUUCGGCUCGUAAAGCUCUGUUGGUAGUGAAGAAAGAUAGAGGUAGUAACUGGCCUUUAUUUGACGGUAUUUACUUAGAAAGUCACGGCUAACUACGUGCCAGCAGCUGCUGUAAUACGUAGGUGGCAAGUGUUGUCCGGAUUGGUUGGGCGUAAAGCGAGUGCAGGCGGUUCAAUAAGUCUGAUGUGAAAGCGUUCGGCUCAACCGGAGAAUUGCAUCAGAUACUGUUGAACUUGAGUGCAGAAGAGGAGAGUGGAACUCCAUGUGGAGCGGUGGAAUGCGUAGAUAUAAGGAAGAACACCAGUGGCGAAGGCGGCUUUCUGGUCUGCAACUGACGCUGAGGCUCGAAAGCAUGGGUAGCGAACAGGAUUAGAUACCCGAGUAGUC